CAACAGAAAGAAAGAAUGUCAGUCUCUGUCUUUCCUCAGUUACCCAACCUGUCUGAGAAAGAGCCUCCUGAUUAAAACUUUACAUAUUGAACCUAUGUCUAAGCUCCAAUAUUUAGGCAAUCUGGCAAGAAAAUAUUUUGCUUUUGAUCCUGGGAUAAAGGAAAAAAAUAAAAGCGACAUGCUGCCACAAUCUUGGAAAGAAAAACAUUUCUCUUAAGAUAACCCAGCUUAGAAGAAUAAAUGCAUUAUGGUAUUCAAUCUUUCAAAAGACAUCAGGAAAAUGGAAGUCUUGCCUAAAGUAUAAACUAGUCUCCUUGGGGGCAAACAAUGGGCACAAUCUAGAAUGCCCUGCUGAGGCACGAGUGGAGUUAAGGCACCCGACUGGUAGCUUGCAUUAACCCCAGGCUCUUUGGGAGCAGGGUACCCGCCUUGCUCUCUCCAUCCAUCUGUAUUUCACAGCUAAUCACUAAAUAUAAAACUUUCCUGAGUCAAACAGGUUUUAGGGAAAAUACAAAUCAAAUGCUUAACACAGCUAACAUUUCCUGUCCGGGGAAGCAUUUGUUUAGAGAGAGUGAAGUUUUUUAAAGUGUAGUUUCAUUGGAAAACCAAUUAAUUUCCAGCCUGCAGCAGGAUGUAUUAGCUAUUUAAUAUGACUUGCUUUAGGCUGCCUUUUCCCAGAGCUGAAUGUGUAGACAUUUGGCCCAGUGACUCUUUGUAAUGUGUAGGCAGGGGACCAAUGUGAAAUCGCCCAAGUUGGGAUUUAGUUUAAUGUGCGCCAUUAUCUCUGGUCACAGGAAAGAUUACAAGAUCCACAGUCCCCUCUUCCCCUUCACCCUGCUUACUUUGCUGCUUCUCGUCCCCAUCCUGGAAAAAUGAAUGAUAUAUUUUAAUUCGUUGUAUUUCCUCUAUUGAUUGUUUAGUUAGUGACUUUGCCAACUUCCUGGAGGUUCAUGUCGGAUUCUGUAAAAGGACUGCAUUUCCUUUUGGAAUGGGGACUGGGAGAGAGAGGCAGCAGAAGCCCGGGUUCACCAGCAAAUUUAUCUGGAAUACCAGUGAUGUCACCAUGUGGACACUCUUUGGAAUGGCACAGGUGGAAACCUUUCUCUGCCACUUGGAGAUGACUUUAUAAGCAACUCUGUUCACAAAAAAAUCAUCCCCUGGAGCCCAAGCCUUCUGCUCAUUUUACAGAUGAGGAAACUGAGGCAAAUUGGGUGAAGUGACUUGCCCAGGAAGACAGCUAGUCAUUGGCAGGUUGAUAAAUUAAAAAGUGCUAAGAAGUUGUGAGCUGAGAAGCUUGGAAAGAAUGCAAACUCCUCUUCCAAUUCUAUAGAUAGAAUGCCAUGGACAUAUGGGUGCUGGGAAAGCCCUAAGAGGAUUAUUUUUUGACUCCUGUGUUCCUGGGAAAGAAGGACCACAAAACCAAGUCUACUUGUCUUUCUACUCCAGUUACUGAUAAAGGUGUGAAGAUUCACAAGGAAAACUCCAACAGGGAAGUCAUAUACUAACAUCUCAGCACCAGGUACUGAAGAGUUUCUCCUACCAGCCGUUGGAACUUUUAAUGAGUGGUUGGCAACUUUUUAAUGGACACUGUACAGAAAAAUCUUUGUGGUGUUUGCCGUGGCUGAGGACUUAGGAUGCAAUAAAACAUGGUCGGCUAACCAAA